GCGGCUGUGGCGGAACUGGCAGACGCAUCAGACUCAAAAUCUGACGCUGGUGACAGCGUGUGGGUUCGAGUCCCACCAGCCGCA
rfam:Firmicutes bacterium CAG:102 genomic scaffold, scf220